AGUCUGUGAGGGUAAGUUGCAGACAGCAUGACCCUCUACCUCCAGAUGAGUCAGGGUGUGUCUCUAUAAACUUGGAUUUGGGUGAGUUGCAGUGGUUCAUGCCUAUAAUCUCAGCUCUUUGGGAAUCGGAGGCAGGAGGAUCGCUUGAGCCGGGGAGUUCCAGGCUGCAGUGAGCUAUGAUUGUGCCAUUGCAAUCCAGCCUGGGUGACAGGAGGAGACCCUGUCCUCAAAACAGAAAAAUAAAUAAAAUUUUAAAAUAAUAAAAAUUGUGAA
rnacentral:lncRNA from 1 species